rnacentral:rRNA from 1 species
UGAUGUCAAGUCAGCAUGACCUUUAUAUCCAGGCUACACACACGCUACAAUGGUCUGUACAAUGGGUAGCCAAGCCGCGAGGCGGAGCCAAUCCUGAAAGCAGGCCUCAGUUCAGAUUGCAGUCUGCAACUCGACUGCAUGAAGCCGGAGUUGCUAGUAACCGCAGGUCAGCAAUACUGCGGUGAAUACGUUCCCGGGUCUU